UACGAGGGGGGCAAGCGUUGUUCCGAAUUAUUGGGCGUAAAGGGCGCGUAGGCGGUUUGGCAAGUUUGGUGUGAAAUCUUCGGGCUCAACUCGAAGUCUGCAUCGAAAACUGCCGGGCUUGAGUAUGGGAGAGGUGAGUGGAAUUUCCGGUGUAGCGGUGAAAUGCGUAGAUAUCGGAAGGAACACCUGUGGCGAAAGCGGCUCACUGGACCAUAACUGACGCUGAGGCGCGAAAGCUAGGGGAGCAAACAGG
rnacentral:rRNA from 1 species